UUUUAGUUACACGGUGAAGUUACUGGAUACAUGUCCUGUUCAAGUAACUGUAUAUAAACUUGACAUGGAGAUAAGCUGAGACCUCAUGGCAGAAAUCUCAUUUGAAACAACUGGAAAUUACUUCAACUUGGCUCAAGUCACAGCACAACAGAUACCUUCUCCUCCUUCUCCAGCCCUGCUAUCUUCAAGAGGAUAAGGAUUU
rnacentral:lncRNA from 1 species